UAUAUCCAUUUUGCAGCUGGCACCGCAUCUCCUGAUGUGCCCAUCUCUGCUCCACGCUCCAGACUGCGCACAUCUUGGAACAGCUGGAAAGUGCCCUCUGAACACAGGGAAACCAAGAUCGAGCUUGGGAGUACACACGUGGUGCAUUUCCCUCCCAUUCAGCACUGAGCAUCGGUCCAACAAGGCUUGAAGAAUGAAACAGCAGAGAACAAAAACCUGGGGAACCUGGACAACAGCCUAUUUUCUCUGUUUGUUUCUGUGCGCUGCAUCUGAGUGUGAGCCCGUCGACACCACCGGACACAAGUGUAGAAAUGAAUCCAUUACAGCGCCUGCGCACACUGCUGUGCUCCUGCGCUUUGUUGUUCAAGACACGGUUGUGGAUCAUUUAAAAGCUACUCUUAACUGGCAGACUGAUUCGCAGGAAGUUGUGCAUGCCUAUCACGAAGGCAAGGAUCAGCUGGACAAACAGGCAGAGAGGUUUCGUGGGCGAACCGAGGUCUUUCCCAAGGACAUUCGCAGUGGCAAUGCAUCUUUGUUGCUGAAAAAUAUAUCCUGGAAUGAUACACAAGCCUAUUGCGCUUACUUUUUCCUCAGUGAUGAUGGAAAGCAUAGUGAAUGCUGCAGCAUCCAACUUAACGUGUCAGGGAAGGGCGCUGCAGUCCCAGUGCUGGGAGCUGUGCACUGUCUCGCUGCCGUCCUGCUGCUGUACAUGGUGUUGUGAGCACGUGAAGAUAAUCUAUCUUCCUGCAGAGCCCAGAUGCAAAUGCUGACUUGUGAGCCCGAGCACUGAGGAACCCAAAGUGCGUCUCGCUUCAUCUUUCCCAGCACCUCUACGGUACGUGACCUGCCUGCUGCUGCGACUGCCGGGGCCCAGUGGAGCGGACGGUGGGACGUCUGCCAAGAGCUGCUGCUUCAGGAAGUCUCCCCAGGACCUGGCAAGGCAGAAGUCCCACCGGAGAGGAGGCCUUAAAAGUGAUUCCUGGUGGAGGGAUGGGUUGGCGGGUGCAAAUGCUAGUAGGGGGAGGGGUGUAUGUGUUUUAUGUGUGCAAUAAUACAUUUUCUCCUGGUUUAUAGAAAAAUGGAGGGAGGGGGAAAUUAAUAUGUAUAAAUUCAUAUAAUUUUUUCCCCAUCUAUUAGUGGAAGGGAAAACAUUUAUAUUAAUGUAUUCAUACUGGGGGGCGGGGUUCUACAAACCAAGGGAAAAUGCAUCUUCCUCUGACAGACACGAUUUCUAAGUCUAUAAGGGCCUAAGAGAGCCUUGAGGACACUAAGACCCAACAAAGUUCCUAAUUCCAGCAUGAGAUUUAUAUAUAAACCUUUAGCUAUUGGUAGAAAUAAACUUUUUUUUACAAAAAAUAUAAAUUUAUACAAUUGGAUGUUAGGAAAAGUUUCUGCACUUUAAUUUACCAGUCAAGUGUUUAAAAUGGCACUACCACUUUAUUCAUAAAGUAGACACUUUUGAAUGAUUCCCAGAUGCUGCUCCCAAGUUUGGGAUGUAGCGGUAAAGGCCAUGCCAGGACCAAAGCAAGGAUGUGGAGCAGAGGAGCAGGUGGGGAAAGGCUGCAGGUGGAGCUUUGUCAUAGGACAGUGGAAGAGAUUCAUUUGGAGACAAUGGCCCGUAUCCAGGUCCACCUUGAGAUGGGCCCCUAGGAUCUAAUGCAGGGGUGGGCAAAAUACAGCCCACAGGCUGGAUCUGGUGUGCCAGCAGAUUGGAUCUGGCCCACAUGUGGACAGCCACCAAUUCAUUGCAUCUGGCUCACAGGUGGCUGGCAGGUCCAGGUACUGUGUGGUGCCAAGUGGCUGGGCAAGCCUGUUUCCACCCAGCACCAUCAGCCCAGCAUCAGCUGUGGGCCUGAGCAGGGUUUCCACCACAGCAGGUGAGUGGCGGUGUCAGCUAUGGAUACUACUGGCAGAUUCAGGGGUCUGAACCCAGAACCUGCCAGCUGUGUCCACAGCUGCUGCCGCCGCCCCCGCCCCAGCGCAGAGCCCCGACCUGGAACCUGAUGCUGGCACGAGCCGUGGCUGCGGUCAGGAGCUGCGCCUGCGGCAGAUGGGUGUCAGCUGUGACACCGCUGGCGACUCCGCGUCCAGGCUCCAGAGCCUGCUGGCUGUGCCCACCGCUGAUGCCACCACCUGCCCGCUGUGGCCAAAUCCCCAUCGUGGUCCUCUGCUGAGCUUUGGGGCUGCUGGCGAACGACAGCUCUGGCCAGGUUCUGGAGGGAAGGAUGGAGAUGGAGAGGAGAGGAGAGAGAGGGCAUUGGUGUUGAAUGGGGCUAGCUCUAUUAUGCUGUUACAUUAAUUAAUAGCUGAAAGUUUAAAAAGUUCAACGCCUAAUGAGUCCGGGCCUAAUGAGUUCAGUUACUCACUGGAGCAGACCCAAAUGUUUCCACUCGGGGACUGUGUUUCUCCUCAGUGCUACCUCCAUGUCCAAUGGACAACUUUCAAAAACCACCGGGAGUACUAUUUACAAAUCUGGGUGUAUGUGUGUUUUGUUGUUUAUGUAUCUGUGUGUGUGUGCGUGUGUGUGUUAUAAUUUAUCAUGUUUUGUAUUAAAAAGGGAAGGAGAAAUUGAUAUAUGUAUUGAUACAUAUUACUUUUUCCCCCCCUCUCCCAUUUUUCUGUGAACCAGGGGAAAAUGCAUCUUCCUCUGACAAACACUAUCUCCAAGUCCCUAAGGGCCUAAGAAAACCUUGAGGACACCAAGACCCCCCUCCCUAAAAUUUCAUAAUUCUAACACAUCUAUCUUUAUCUAGAGAUAGAUAGCUGUCUAUCCAACUUCAAUAAGCUAAGGACUUAGUGAGCAAUGCCCUAUGGGAUUAUGGACUGCAGGGAAAGAGUGUGGAUGAAGAGUGGUCGUUCCUCAAGGACACGAUCCUCGGUGCACAGAAGUUGUCUAUACCGCUACGGCAAAAAGGUGGCACAGCCGCCAGAAGUUCAUCUUGGCUCAAUAGGGAAGUCCUAGGUCUUCUGAAAAAGAAAAGGGAAGCUUACCAGUGAUGGAGCUAGGCAUAGGCCCCAAGGAGAACUACAUAAGAAUGGCCCAGACCUGCAGGGAGCAGAUUAGAAAAGCACAGGCGGUGACCGAAUUCAGGCUGGCAACCGAAAUCAAGGGCAAUAAGAAGUUCUUCUAUAGGUAUAUAGGUAACAGGAAAAAAACCAGUGGAAACGUAGGACCACUUCUCAGUGCAUCUGGACAUCUGAUUGCCAACACCAAGGAGAAAACCGAACUCCUAAACAAAUACUGUGCAUCUGUAGUCCACCAAUGUAAGACUUCAUAGGCUGCCGAAUGCAAAUAUGACACAGAAGAGUCGCAGGAGGGCUGAUCACUUACCACAGUCAAUGUAGAGCUGGUGAAAGAACAGCUAGGGAGGAUGGAUACCUAUAAGUCAGCAGGACCAGAUGAACUCCAGCUGGGAGUGCUGAAUGAACUAGCCAAAGUCAUCACAGGACCGCUGGCCAACCUCUUCAGGAAUUCGUGGCACUCGGGAGAGGUCCCAGAAGACUGGAAGAGGGCCAAUGUUGUGCCCAUCUUCAAGAAGGGAAGGAGAGAGGACCCAGGGAAAUACAGGCUGAUCAGCCUGACCUCCACUCCCAGGAAAAAUCCUUGAAAAAUUUGUCAAGGAGUCCAUAUGUGAUUCAUAGAUUCAUACAUUCAUAGAUGUUAGGGUCGGAAGGGAACUCAAUAGAUCAUCGAGUCCGACCCCUGUAUAGGCAGGAAAGAGUGCUGGGUCUAGAUGACCCCAGCUAGAUACUCGUCUAACCUCCUCUUGAAGACCCCCAGGGUAGGGGAGAGCACCACCUCCCUUGGGAGCCCGUUCCAGACCUUGGCCACUCGAACUGUGAAGAAGUUCUUCCUAAUGUCCAAUCUAAAUCUGCUCUCUGCUAGCUUGUGGCUAUUAUUCCUUGUAACCCCUGGGGGCGCCUUGGUGAAUAAAUCCUCACCAAUUCCCUUCUGUGCCCCCGUGAUGAACUUAUAGGCAGCCACAAGGUCGCCUCUCAACCUUCUCUUGCGGAGGCUGAAGAGGUCCAGGUGCCCCAGUCUCUCCUCAUAGGGCUUGGCCUGCAAGCCCUUAACCAUACGAGUUGCCCUUCUCUGGACCCUCUCCAGGUUAUCCGCAUCCCUCUUGAAGUGCGGCGCUCAAAACUGCACGCAGUACUCCAACUGCGGUCUGACCAGCGCCCGAUAGAGGGGAAGUAUCACCUCCCUGGACCUAUUCAUCAUGCAUCUGCUGAUGCACGAUAAAGUGCCAUUAGCUUUCCUGAUGACUUCAUCACACUGCCGGCUCAUGUUCAUCUUGGAGUCCACUAGGACUCCAAGAUCCCUUUCCACUUCUGUGCCACCCAGCAGGUCAUUUCCUAGGCUGUAGGUGUGCUGGACAUUUUUCCUCCCUAGGUGCAGCACUUUGCAUUUCUCCUUGUUGAUACGCUAGUAGAAGGCAAAUUUCAGAAUGACAUCCAGCACGGUUUUGUUGCAGGUAGGUCCAACACUGUGAAUUCGUGCUUCCAUGCAAGCUGCAGCCCCGCUGCUCUGCAAAUCUGUCGGGACGUGGGACAGCUGGCCAAAGACAACUGGCUCUGCUCCACCUCCACCUCCUUGCUGAAAGCAUCAAAUGCACAACUCUAUUGCCUAUGUCUGGACGGGGAGAGGAGAGGGCCAGUUUCACAGCUGCAACCUCCCUUCAGCACCAGGGGAUGCAGAGGCUGCUGUCUGCCCGCUGCAUCCCUGUCCCCGUGGCAGGGCAGGGGCUGCAGCUGGGAGACACUAGGCACUUCAUGCACUUACCCUGUUCACAGGGAAACUGUUAGUUCAACUAUAAGAGGUAGGUGUUGAACGGGGCUGGCUCUGCAAUUCUGUUGUGUUUAUUAAUAACUGAAAGUUAAAGGCCUAAUGAGUCUGGGCAAAGCAGUUCAGUCGCUCGCUCGGCCUGACCAGCACGUUUCCACUCAGGGACACGUUUCUUCCCAGUGUUACCUCGUGUCUAGCACACACCUGCCAAGAACCACUGGGGCACUGUUUAUAAAUGUGUGUGCGAGAUGGAUGUGUGAGUAUGUGUUCUUAUUUACGUGUGUUUGCAUAGGUCUGUGUAUAUGUAUGUGUGUAUAGUAUCUCUUACCCUGGUUUGUAGAGAAAUGGAGGGAGGGGGAAAAUUGCUGUGUAUAACACUGACGGGUCCCAGGGCCAAUUAAUCAUUGGAACGGUCUCAAGGCUCGGUCCUCCAUCAGUCCGGCCUUGGGAAGCAGGCUGGGGCCCGUGCGGACUUGCUAACACUGCUGAGACCUCAGCAAGGGAACGGGAGGAAGGGACUUGUUGUUGGAGCCCUGCGCUGAAUGCUUGUCCUGCUUUUGUUCUGUUCAUUUUCUAGCUGUUAUAUUGGGUAAUAAAGUGCAUUUGCUUCA